rnacentral:lncRNA from 1 species
AAAUUGAAGCCAUAAAAAGCUUAUCAACCCAAAAGAAAACAAACCCGCCAACGAAAGAAGAUAAAAACAAAAUACUGAUCAAAACUGGAGAAAUGGGAGGUACUACUUCUUGUAAUCAUCUCUGUUGGUGAGGUGGUAGCGACGUAUGACAUCAUUUUCUCGGUGACCUCCCUCUCUUUUCCACUCCAAGAAAUUGACCUUCUUCAAGAGUUUCUUCUCAUGAUGCUUGAGCUUUCUCAUCUUCAGAUCGCAAAAACCAAAAACCCUAAACCCUUCGACGGAGGCCGAGUGCAAGACGAAGAAAGAGUGGCAGUUUUCAGUUUGAAGCCUGUGAAAAUUCGUCAGUUUUGCGUAUUGGGUUUAUAGUAGUCAGAGGCCAUUGGGUAGAAGAGCAGUCCAGCCCAAAAAGAAUUGAUCCCGUUUGCCAAGCCCCUUCUCGUAGACCUUCGGACAAGCAAUCAGUCAGCUUGACACUUUUUUUGAUGGUUAAUUCCACUUUGCAACCUUCAACCAUACAUGGAUGUCCACUUUGAUCCCCGUCCUCUAAAAUGAAACACUUUAAAUAUACAAUUUAUCACAGUUUUUGUCAUUAAACUAUGAUUCCACUUUUAAUCCCUCAGAGCAUAGAAUUUAUCCCACUUAAGUACAAUAAUUUGUUUCACCUACGUUAACGAUUUUACUUUAAGUGUGACAGAUUUUUAUAUUUAAAGAACUAAGCCGUUUUAUUUUAAAGUUUAAAAAUCAAAGUGGGAAUCCAUAUACAGUUGAGUUGAAGGGUACAAAGUAAUAUUAACCCCUUUUUUUCCUUUUAUGCUUUUGAUGGUGUCCUAAGCUUACCUCCACUUUAUUAAAGGGUUAUAUUAUAUAUCUGUAUUGAACUUGACUGGCAACAACCAAAGAAGAAGAAUUUGAUUCGGAAUUCACCAACUCGAAAUGGGCAAAAAAAAUCUAGGAUGAUUUUGCGGCCUCAUUAAGGAAAUAUAGAUCCUGAUGGCUAUAAUUAUUAUUGUUUCCUCAUUCUUCUACUUUUCUUGAAACAAAUAUGAAUACAAGAAAAAAGGGAUGGUGGGUACAAGUGAUGCUUGUACGAGUGUCUUGUUCUUCUUGGCAUUCUUUAAUAAACUAAUGAAUACAUCCUUUUUCCUAGUGGUAAAAAUUAGAUUAUAUGACUGGAUUAAAAAAAAAAAUCACUCCAUGACAAUAUCUAUAAAAGAUUAUACCCCUCACAUUUUUGCAACUUAUGUAUAUUCCUUCGUCAAAGCUAAUGCGAUUUAUUAAUUCGCAAACAAACUUAGGCGCCAUUGAAGUCCCAUUUCAUGAGCAGAUAAAUUUUAUUCUCUGUUUAGCUAAAUUUUCACUCCAGCUCUUAUAGGUGCCGUUGAAGUUUAUCCAUAUCCAGUGUCAAAGUUAAAAAGUGAAGAUGCAAGCAUCCAAUGUCAAGGUCAAAAAACCGAGCAUGAUCCCAACAUUCUUCAACUUCAAGGUUAACCUUGUGAGAGCCUUACCUUCCCCUAAGGCGAAUCAAAGGGUUUAGCGGACUGCCUGCCCAACUCUCGCCGGGACUCAGUCAUUCACUCAAACAAAUCCGAAAUAAAAUCACAAGAAUUCAUAUGGCAAAAUCGAAAAUUUAAAAUGAAACUUAUAUACAUUGCUAUCUCAAAAGAAAGUACAAACGUUGAAUAUACAAAAGUUCUCAAUUCACCAAACAACCAGCCCGUGCCAAGCACUAGGGCGAGAACCAUUACAAAAGAAAAAAACCAAGGGCUAGACCCAACUAAUUUAUACAGGCUCUCGUCCUUACUCGCCUUUCCCUGUUAAGGAAAACAAAACUAACGGGGUGAGCUAUAAGCUCAGUGAGGUUCCGAACAUAUAGGCAACAAGAAGUUUCAUGCAUUCAUUACAUGUUACCAAUAAUUCAAAAUACAAAUACAAAAGAAAGCGAUAAACACAUUCAUGGAAAGGAUACGUGCUCACAAGGAGCCAUUCGUUCAUUCGUUCGUUCAUCCAUUCUCCUUUCGUUCCCUUAUACCUUCAAUCAUUUGAAAAUGCAUUUUUUUUAUAAGUAAGCAAAACCCCCAUUCAUUCAUUCGUUCAUUCAUUCAUUCACCCCCUUUCCGGAUAUUGUCCAGGCUCCACCAGACUUCAAGGUAAUACUCGAGUAUACCAAAACGUUCAUCCAGGUCAUCAAAUCGCCCGACCGAGUCCGCUUCUGGUUCGAGUCGACCGGUAACAAGGGGCAGUGGCCAGUUCAGCCCACAGGCUUACAUUCAUGCACAAAUAACAUUUCAAAUCGUUCAAUCAUUGAAAAUGUCACAACCAUUUAGGUCGAGUGCGAUAAAGUACACAUUCGCCUAGAAAACUCGUUUUGGCAAUCAUUGAAAGCAUAUAACAUGUCAGCAAUCAUUCACAUAUGUCAUAUAGUCAAGAAACAUAACAAACAAGAACACUCACCAAGCAAGCAAGUGAUAUUUCAUACACCUCCGCCUAAAGAGUGCCUUGGACCACCGUCACGUCCUAACCAUUCAAAUAAGCACAUAUAAGACUCGUUUACAAGUCAUAAACCAAUUCCAAAUACCAUCAUAAUAGGUUCCACUAGAAAGUAUAAGCAUUAGAGUAAACCAGGAAAAUUCGGAAAUGGAAUUGAACUUCAAUUCAAAAAAAUAGUUUUUGACGUCAUUAUGCGGUUUUAGCACCAACGGCACUACGAUUAUCGGAUGGAAGUGUAAGACCCACCGUUUCGAAGCUAACAGACAGGGCUACAACAUCACAGAAGGUCACUCAACCCAGUUUUGAGUGCAACCAGGUCAAAAAUGCAAGAUAUUACGUCAAAAAUGUAAAACAGAUUCACCAAAACGCAUUCUAGCGGAAACCUCAUAACUCAGGCUCUCCAAGUCCAAAUCCAGAAAUUCCAAAACCAGCUGAAAGCUAAGAAACAGGGCUAAAUUUCAUCAGAAGGUCUCAACAACCAAUUCGGAAGCAAUUCCAGCCAAAACAACCAAUUACAGGCGCAAUUCUUACAUUCGGGUAAAACCAGAACAGCAAUAGUAAUUUCGACUUUUCUCAUUCUAUACUACUCCGAUUGACCUGAAAUUUUGUAGGCACCUCUAAAAUGUCAUUCCCUACAACUUUUAUGUUUUAAGCCAAGGCCAAUUCGGCCUCUAACUAGGAGCUAAAAAUUCGGGCAGAAUGCUCCCUCAAGAACCCUAAUUUUCUGAAAUUUCCUCCAAACCAGAAAUUGGUUACAAUUAAUCACUUUUUCCACCUCUGAGAGUCAUUAUAUACCAUUUCUAAUCAUCAUAGAUAGCCACACAAUCAUGCUUAUAUUAAAACAGAAAAAAAAAUCCCCAAAAUAAUAAAACUUCAUCACUUCAACCACAAAUCAAGAAAUAACCCAUAAACUUGCAUCUCAUACUACCACUAAGCAUGAUUUAAGCAUCAAUUAAGGGAGGAGGGUGGUUCUUCACAACUUACCUUAGUAAAACAAGAGAGAGAGCAACUUGUCACCUUAGCUUCCCAAACAACUCCACCAAACAACUCACAAACACUAAGUGAAGAGGUUUUAUGGAGUAAAACUAAAAUUAAACGGUUAAAAGUGAAGAUUGAGCAAGUUUGGAGCAAAGAAAUUGGAGAGCUUUUCUUCCCUUGUUGCUUGAAGGUGGCCGGCCAUAUGAAGCUUAGAAAUGAAGAUAUUUUGGUCAAUUUUUGAAGUUAUUAUGGUAAAUGGUAAAAGCAUGAAUAGUAAGUCAAAAGUAGGAAUUAAUCUCUAAGUGACACAUGUCAUCUUCCUUAAUUACUUGCCUAACUUUUUUGUCUCUAUUACACCAAUCCACUUGACAACCUCUAAAUAUCUCAUAACACCCGAUAAAUUAAACUCAAUAUCCAAAACUUAACCUAAUUGGGCGAAUUUUUUCGAACUUUUCGCACUAGCGGGUCCCACGUCCGGUAUACGCUCUUAAUUUCUCCAAAGCUAUCCGAUACUAGGAAAAUCAUCUAAAAACUAUAUUUACUCAAUAAAAUUAUUUGGAGAAUUUUCUAAGAAAGAAAAUGUAGAAAAAGGCGGGCGAUUAAUAAAAGAAACCCUAGAAGCUUAGAAAAUUUUCGGGUUCUCGCACUCAUUCUUUCGGGGCGUCACAAACCUGCUCUUCAAGUCUCCCCACUAUCAAAUAAUAACGCAAAGACUCCACCGUCCUUCCCUUCACAUCUCUCCUUCACCCCCCAACCAUUUAGUUUACACUACUGUUUCAUUGAGUUUUGCGAUCCCAUGCGUAGGUGCCGCCGCGUGUGUGUCUGUAUUGGUAUUGUUAAGGAAUGCUGCAUUCUGGGGUGGGUUGCGUCGUAUCAAACUUUAGAUUUUUAGCGUUGUUUAGUUACUGCUAGUGAGUUAGUAGUAGUGGUUAAAAGCGGCAUUAAUUUACAGCUUGACAUUUUUUAAGGUAAUUUACUUUACAUGUUAUUUAACUUCUGAGAUUGCCUUGUUUCGUGAAAAUGUAAACAUUAAAUAUUUGGAUCGGUCAAGCUUUCAAGUUUGUGUUUUCCCCCUUCCGGCUUCGGCUACGUACACCUGUAUCAUCGUUGAUUGGACUAGUAGUGUUGCAGAACGUAGUAAUCCUUUCCGUUUCCUUCAAUUCUUCUUCAUGGUAACUUAACUCUGUCUUCUUGCCGAGCUUUAGAAUUCCAGAGUCUUCAUGAGAGUGGGUAGUAAGUAUUCGAAUAAAGGAGUUUUAUACCAAUUCUACCCUACGUAUUCCAAUCAAAAGAUGAAACUCAUUGCCUUUCUCCCAGGAAAUGAGACACCCAAAAAAAAAAAUUCUGCUGAAGCUGAUGAAAAUUGCUACCCGUAAGAACCCAAAUAACAAGAGAGAGAGAGAUAAUAAGCUUCGGGAGCAAGAGGUUUGAUCCAAUAACUUCCUGUAAAAUAAGGCAGCUUCUCAUACUUAAAUGGAAGCCUCUAUCCAAAAUCAAAGACCAAAAAAAAUUUACAAGUCCCCAUACGGAGGAAACUCUUGAUCACCAUCCCAUCAGAAGACGAGCGAAUGCUGGAAAUCAAGGCAAAUUUCCAUAUUCUCAGAGAUAAUAAAAAAUGAAUAGUGAUGGCGACACUCUAACCUUGAUCCACUUUCAGCUAUUUAUUAGCACAAUCUUAACUGUCAACGCUACCUCUGCAGCUAGUACAACCACCCUGAAGGAAAAGAAGAAUACAAUAAGAAAGAACUGACAUAAAUCAUACAGAGGAAGUAUGGUGUCAAAACUCUAAAAAGAAACAGAAACAUCCUUACAAUACAUUCUGAUUUUUGCUAAGACGCAAAGAAGUUGUACCUAAAAAUCUCAUUCUUCAUCGGAGCAAAAGAAUUAGAGAGAUCAGUUUUAGCUUCUAGCCUUCUUUUCACAUUUUUAAAGAAAUGGACAAAGGAGUGAAGAAAGCAGAAGAAACCUCUCUAAUGACUGUACUAGCAGUUCCUUCAUUGGUUCUUUUACCCACGUCAAGUUGCACUGAGAUGUUGACCUGGGACAAAUCCACCCCAGAGGAUUGGAGUGCAUGCUUAAGGGUAUUCAACAACCUGUCAAUUUUCAAUAACUCAAAAUAAACAAGAUAAAUCAACAUAACAAAAUUAAAAACUCUAUAGCUUUUCCAGGUGCUUAAGAAUAAGAAUAUGGCUCGAGUAUUUAACAACCAGUUCUGCCUUAAAAUAACAAAUAAGUAGGUUCCAUGCAGGGGAGAUGAGAUGGAGAGAGCCAAACUGUAUUUGCACCUCAGAAUCUCACCCUUGAGAGUAAACAUUUGAGAUACUAGCUUCUCCACUAUCCGGGUGCAGCUGUUCUCGCUGGCUAGUUUUGUAGCUUGGAACAGCGCAUUCGGAUGCAGUCAAUUUGCCUUGCCAGUAUUCGGAAGGGGAGUGAGUAGCCAAAUGUUCAGGGUCAGGAAAAGAUCCCUGAGGAGGUUGGGUAGACACAACAUGAAACAAAUUUGGCUGCACUAGCAAAUUUGAAGAAUUUUCUUCAUUUCCUGACUGUUGGGGAUGAUCUGUAGGAGUGCAUAGAGGAGCACCAUUCAACUCAGAAUCCAUUGCCGUCUGGGCAUUAGAAAGCAAAGUUGGAGAGACAAUGAUGUUGUCUUCGUGACCAGAACCAUUCCUCAUGAGCAGUGGUUGAUCAACAAAAUUCUCAAUUAGCCCAGAAUUGCUUCUCUAUUUGCACAUUAAGAGGAAGUCAGUAUAGUUAGAACUUUAGGCUGGACUUAUUCAAUACAAAUUACAAGUAGGUUCAACCGCAAAUAUAAGUCCAGAAGCCACAAUGUGUAACUAAUCCUAAAUUUAAAAUGGUAAUCAAACUUUAAUGCAGAAAUGAUAUUGGAAAUUCACAAUCAGAAAGAAAAGACAAGGAGAAUGACAUAAGCACACACGCCCAGGAUGAAAAACAUCAGAUGCACAACUACUAAAUGAACUUUACCCAAGGUAUCAACUUUGAUGGCUCCUGAUUCCAACCUUGGUAUGUUUCCUCGUACAUCUGUAUCCUCUCCUGUAAGAACUGGAUAUACUGUAUAACCUGGAUUUAACAGCACGUACUGGUUAAAUUGUUCUGGCAAUAAAACAGAGAAGAGGGAAAAAAAUCACUGAAUGAGAACUAACAGCAAAAGUAAAGGGCCAAAUAGGAAAUACACCUCCAGCAAGAAUGAAGCUUUAUCUCGCUUCUGAUCAUUUUCAGGGAUGAUAUCUCUUAAAAUUUGGAAUCUGCAUGGACAAACAUAAUUUUUAGCUCCAUUGAACUUUGUGACUUAUGCCCAGAAGGCAAGAAAGUUUGGGCUCUAAUAUAUAAGCUUCAACGUGCACAGAUUGUCAUCCACCAAAUCAUGCUUGAGAGAGUACAUUUUAGAUUGCAAUCUCAUUGACAGAAGCCAAAUGAGAACAAAGGCAAAAUCAAUAAGACAGGAAGACAUUGCAAUGAGUAUUUUCAAAGCAACUAACCUCAGCAUCAUCCAUUAAUCAAAAGAAUCAAAUCAAAAAAUCCAAAUUUUACAUUGAUCAUUUACCAAUCGAUUAAUGAUCUGAAACCUUACAAAGAUGGUAUGAGAUACAAUAUAUUUCUUGAAUCAACAUAUGCAUCACUAGAUUAUAAAUCUGCAAUGAUGUCCAUUUCAAACAUAUGCAUACUCCAUCUCUAGAAAUCACUACCAUAGACUGAUUGAGCCAAGAUACUAGAAUUUGCAACCACUUAGAGAAUAAGGUCACUGUUAAUACACAUCAAAAAGGCCUUUCCUUAUUUCCAACUUCAAAAUCAGAUACUGCUAUUUCCAACUCAUUCGCUCAUCCUGGACUCUGUUUCCACAAUUUUCUCAAGUCAAAUCAGGAUCUCUUUUGCUCAACAAGCCUAUAUACUCCAAAAAAUGCAAAAGUUCCUGGGAACUUCUUCUUAAUCACCCCACCCAAUUUACUCCUCCCAACUCAACAAUGGAUUGUACGAGCCAUUCUUCAGUUCCACUUAUCACUAUUAAACAUAAAAAAGAGAAUCCAAAGCAAUCUUAUCCUCAAACUGCACAACAACGGAUCACAAAUAAAUAUCCAGCAUAAAAAUACUCCCCAUGGAGCACAACAAAAUCCUCAGCUGCAAAUAAAGAAGAACACUUUAGCACUCAAGCGUGAACUAAUACAAACCUAAUCACUAGAAACAAUAGCAGAAGAGAAAAUCACCAGAGCAGGAGAACUAGGUGAGCAAUUGAAUAAAGAGGGAGUACGUUUUGCAUAUUCAUUAUUAAGAAUAUACAGAGAAUUCAUCGCACAGGGUAUAAGGACAGUACACAGUGUGGUACUUAACACAUUUUCGUGGAAUGGAUCCGUAUAUUUUCACAGAAUUCAUGCCCUUAGUAAUAAUUUCAUAAAACUCAUGCUACCCUCCUUAUUAACAAUUUGAUGAAAGUCAUGCAACCAUUUUUAUUAAUUUGAUUAAUAAAAAAACCCAGUAGUCCACCCCUCGAUAAUUUCCCUAUAGUAGUGGGAGAUAUGUCACCCUCAUUCUAACAAAGAAUAGAACAACCCGGGGAAAAAAAAAAGAAAAGGAAAGGGAAAUGCUUGCCUCUCGUUAAUUUUGCUUCUCCGCCGCUGUUCUGUCUCGGAAUGCUUCGACCGCAGAGCAUUGACCUUCUGAUCAUUACCCUUUCCCUCCACUUUCACUGCCCACCCAACCCAUUAAAAAAAAUGUAAACGUAUAUAUAUAUGGAAAAAAAAAAUCACCAGAGCCCAAAGCAUAUCUGAAAAAGUUAACAAAAGUCAACCUUUUUGAGAGGAAUUUUCAGGAGUAGAGGAAGCGAAUUCUUCAUCGUCAAAAUCGUCGUCUUCCUGCCGGCUCUUCGAGGUUCUCACCAUUUACCGGUUACAAUUACAAUCCUCCAGCCCUAAAAAAGAUAAUAACAACGAUAAUAAUGAUAACACACACACAGUCUCUCUCUCUGUCUCUCUCAAUUUCUCUCUCUCUCUCAAUUUAUGCACUGCUAAUUGGAAAAGCCCUAGAUGGGUGAGAACAAGCGAAAACGCUUUCAGAAAAAACUAAGAACAAAGAAAGUAGCACCCGUACU